UACGGGGGGGGCAAGCGUUGUUCGGAAUUACUGGGCGUAAAGGGCUCGUAGGCGGCCAACUAAGUCCGACGUGAAAUCCCCAGGCUUAACCUGGGAACUGCGUCGGAUACUGGAUGGCUUGAAUUCGGGAGAGGGAUGCAGAAUUCCAGGUGUAGCGGUGAAAUGCGUAGAUAUCAAGAGGAACACCUGCGGCGAAGGCGGGUUGCUGGGCCGACACUGACGCUGAAGCGCGAAAGCCAGGGGAGCGAACGGG
rnacentral:rRNA from 1 species